AGGUACGUUCAAAGGUCCCAGUGACAACAGAUGCAAGGCCUGCAGGACAGGAGAUUACCAAUUACAGCGGGGCAAGGAGAGCUGUGACCUGUGCCCAGAAAACCACUACUGCCCUAGCCCAGAUGUGAGCCCAGUCAAGUGCCCUCCUGAUGCCUUCUGCCCCAGGGGCAGUGUGGAGCCCACCUACUGCAUGGAGCUCUUCCUGUACAAGGCAGGGGACUCCUGCCAGCUGACCCCUGCCACCAUCAUUGUCCUGGCCACCUUCUCAGCAGGUGGAAUCCUUGUUGUCUUUCUAAUAAUUCUGAGAAGGUGGCAAGAGCAUGGCAAGAAAUCCCUGAAGUCGCUGUUGCUGCCCCAGGGCUCAGCAGGACACACCACGUAUGGGGGCACAGAACACACAGAGCCAGUCUAUGCUGGCUGGUAGCACUGCCAUGAUCAGCAGCCACCUGCCUCUCUUUCUCCUGGGGCAACACAGAUGUGGUUCUGGGCAAGGUGUUUAACAACAAGCAACCUAUUUCUGUAUGGCUAAAAUCAGUGCUGGGAAAUAAAACUCAGUUUUUGUAUG